AACGCAUAUUGCGCCUUCUGGUAUUCCGGAGGGCAUGCUUGUUUGAGUAUCAGUAACAACCUCAACUCUCUUCUUCAUUGCGGAGAAAAGAGUUGGAUUUGAGCAUUUCCACAAGUUCGUCUUGGAGGAUUGCUUGAAAUAUGAGGUUCGGCCGGCAGUUGCCUGGGCUACAAGCAUUUCAUACUUAAUCCCGUCAAACGGAUUAUAUCCUUUGCUGCAGCCAACAUACAGGGUAACUUUUGCCAGUGUUCCGACUGAUGCAGGAAAGUUGAGAACUUUUUGCUUCUCUUCUAAACUCGAUCUCAAAUCAAGUAAGACUACCCGCUGAACUUAA
rnacentral:misc_RNA from 1 species